UUUUUAAAUUUCAAUUCCCUUGGGACAGUAUCACCCUGCAGAGGUAUCCAGUUGAUAUCUUUAGCCUCUUUCCAAGAUAUAGCGACUUUGACUGAGUGGUGGCUGUAGGAAGAGAUGAGUCAAUGUAGAGAGGACCUCCAAGAUGGUGGAACUGCAUUUGUGGAAUCAUCCUAAUGAUUAGUGCUAAUUAGACUUGUGAUUUCACCAUGAUAUCAGAGACCUAAAUGCCCCCGCAGAGUAAAGAAAAUUCUCUUCCACCACUGCACAUUCAUGAAAAUCAUGUCCUAUGAGAGUCAACUAAAGAAGUUACAAAGAAAAUGUCCAGAGCAAAAGAUAAACAUGAUGGACAUAGUAGAGACAUAAAAGCCUGGAUCCACGUGCAGAUCUUCCUUCUCAGAGCUGGGCAAUGUGUGCUCUGAACUUACUCUGUUACCGUUAAGAACCCCGAGCAACGGUGAGAAUACAGAGGAUUCUUCAAACAAGCCAGGAAUUUUUGACCUUGCAGUGAGAAUACAGAGGAUUCUUCAAACAAGGCAGGAAUGCCCAUUCGACUUUCCCCAAUGGCUCUGCAUAAGAGGAACCAACAGAGAUCCUUUCCUGAGACCUAAGGAGGCAAAAGCUAGGUGGCAACCAAAGAUUUCAGAGGAGGAAGCAGGUAAGGUGCAGAGCUGCCAGGUGAUUUCUCCCAUUGACUAUUUGUCUUUUUCCUUUCUUACUACCUUCUUUGUUUGCUUAUUUUAGUAGUUGCUUCAGGAUAUAUAGUAGUAUAUAUCACAGGCACCCUUCAAGUGAUAUAUUGCCCCUUCAUAUAGUACAAAAUCCUCACAACAGUAUACUUCCAUUUCUUUUCUCCUGGCCUUUAGUCCUCACUGUCUUCUGUUUUCAUCCAAAUCUUCUUCCUGACUGUUGACUCUAUUGAACCCAGUGGCCCCAAGUCUGUCACCACAUGCUGGGCUGUGAGAUGUCGGUGCCCUGCAGCCAAAGGCCUCCAAGAGCUCACCUGCACUUAAGUAAGUUGGGUUUCUCAUUUGUCACCGUGAGGGAGUACACACACACCAUGGAGAAUUGCCAGGUGUCCCAGUAAAGGGUGUCAGAAAGAACCUAUUAUAGGAUGUGAGCUUUGCUUGGUGGUUUUGAAAGGAUUUAGUGAAAUAGGGAAUUGGUCUCUGUUGGCUGCAGUCAAGAAGGGAAGGUCAUUCUAUGAUUGGUACCUCAAUAAAUCUUACCUAUGGGAGGGCAUUCUAGAUGCUAAAGCAGUAAUUAAUAAUAAUAAAAAAAGCAGCCACUCAUAUUACCUGAGGAAGAGAGAUUUUUGUAUUUUGCAGCUCGGAUGAUAUGCAUGUUUUGUCUCUAUUUAGGCAUGAUUCUGGAAUGGUCUGUUUGCUAUCUUCGUUGUUGUUGUGUCUUGAUCUAUCAUAGUCACAGAGUGAUCUUGUCUCAUAUUAAUGUUCUGUGAAAUCAUUUAUGUUCAACAGGAAAGCACCGAGGCACAGCCAUGAGUGCCACACCAGCUCAUAAAAACACCAAGAUCUGCCUGAUAAUGCCAGGGCAUGCCUGGGUGUCAGGCGCUGCUCUGCUUUUCUGGGGAAUCGCAGAGUUCUGGUGUGAACUUCUCCACCAGCCCCCGAGCAGCCUAGCCUCAGCAGCAGAUGUGCUUGGCUGCUCAGGUUGACUGAUGGGAAUCUCCUCCUAUGUUCUUGUUUCCCUUUAGACCUUCAUUUCUCCAGCUUCUCCCCUAAUUGUGCCAAUCUGAUUUCUAUAAUGAAUCCCUCAUCCCAUUACUCAUAGUGGUACUGC
rnacentral:lncRNA from 10 species